UCUCCCCAAAUAAAAUCAAACCUGAGCUAGCCUGUCUGUAACUUAUCAUUAUAAGUCUCGAGAACAUUAAUGUGUGUGCUGGAAGCUGAAAACACCCGAUUGAAGGACAUUCGUGUGCAUGUGGCGUUUUCAUGAAGAGAUCAACAGACACAAGGAACAGACGAGCCAGAUCCAAAGAAUAGAUGAACUGACGCAGAGGUUUCCCUGAACCCCAGACCUGCAGAGGUUUACCUUCCUCUACAAGACACACAGGCACAAAUGGUAGGUCUUGUGAAUCAAUCCUGGCAGCACGUGACCGUCCUCAAUGUUGAAGUUGUCAUGAGCGCCAAACACAUUGUUCUUACAAAAGAUUGGCUUCUUUGGAUGAGAGGAAUGUCCAUUCUUCUCCUCCUCUGCCCUCCUCUUUCACCACCCGCUCUAUGGCUCGCCCCACCAGCCCACUGCCGCCCGUCACUAGCACACGCAUUGGCUCGACCGUCCCGUUCAUCUGACAGAGAGAGAGAGGAAAGAGGUACUGAAAUAAGGGUGUCAACACACUGAGGAGCAUCACAGAGACUGCCCACAGCAUUCUGCCACUGCUUUCUUCUCUUCUUCAGAGUGGGGCAUGUCAUUAUGUUAUUAUAAUAGAAGAUAAAGAGUUCCUUGUUAAUCUCUCCGCUCACCGGUGGAUUUCCUCAGCUCUUAAAUAAAGGCUCGUCUGUUCGCAGUCAGGUUCAAGUUGCCAAAAAUCUGACUUUAUAGCAGCAAUUAAUAAAGUUAUAACAAUAAAC
rnacentral:lncRNA from 1 species